rnacentral:rRNA from 1 species
UACGGGGGGGGCAAGCGUUGUUCGGAAUUACUGGGCGUAAAGGGCUCGUAGGUGGCCAACUAAGUCAGACGUGAAAUCCCUCGGCUUAACCGGGGAACUGCGUCUGAUACUGGAUGGCUUGAGUUUGGGAGAGGGAUGCGGAAUUCCAGGUGUAGCGGUGAAAUGCGUAGAUAUCUGGAGGAACACCGGUGGCGAAGGCGGGUCUCUGGGCCGAUACUGACGCUGAGGAGCGAAAGCGUGGGGAGCAAACAGG